UGACAUAUAUAAGUACUCAAUAAAUGUGACUUGCUCCAAUAAUGGCAAUAAUAAUAAUAAACAGAGGAUGAUCAUUUCCUACAUGGGAUUAUUAAAAUAGUUGUAUGGCAAAAGCAGAUGAGGAAAAACUUUUUUUUUCCCACCCACCAAGGAAAAACAUUUUUAACCUGCUUUUUUCCCCGUACAUGAAGGGCAGUUGGGUACAGUCAUGGUAAUGCAUUAUAUUUUAAGAUUUUGCCUUUCUUAUACAGAACAAUCCCAGCCUAAAACUUACAUACACAGAAUGUCUGAGGGUUUGUGGCAACUGGUUAGCAGAAACGUGCUUAGAAAAUCCUGCGGUCAUCAUGCAGACCUAUCUAGAAAAGGCAGUAGAAGUUGCUGGAAAUUAUGAUGGAGAAAGUAGUGAUGAGCUAAGAAAUGGAAAAAUGAAGGCAUUUCUCUCAUUAGCCCGGUUUUCAGAUACUCAAUACCAAAGAAUUGAAAACUACAUGAAAUCAUCGGAAUUUGAAAACAAGCAAGCUCUCCUGAAAAGAGCCAAAGAGGAAGUAGGUCUCCUUAGGGAACAUAAAAUUCAGACAAACAG
rnacentral:lncRNA from 1 species